UUCAAUAUCAUUCCUCCCAUUUUUUAUAAUCGCUCUAAGGUUCCAUUCCUCUUCAACAACAAGAUUGGUGCAUGUUUCAAUAGUGUGUGUAUCUACCUCGUUAUUAACGUCAUCAGCCAUGAGCUUGUUAUUUUUUCAAGUGUCUCUUGCGUUCUCAUCUAGAGCUUAAAAGUUGGUUUUAGCGUUUCAGGAAUCUAUCCCCUGUCAUGCUUCCUUUGAUUGUGUAAUUUAACUUUCCACUUGUUUCUUGUAUUAUUCAUCUUAGUGUCUAUCUGUGUGCAUGUUAUUGAUUAUUUCUUCCCAUGACCACUUUUCCAUUUAUCAUCAACGAUAGUAUUGUUGUUGGAAUUGUUAAUGUUGGUGGUGUCAUCUUGAUAAUCAUCUUGGGCUUGAGGCAUAACACAAUUGUUCCAUUGAUUUUUGCAAUUGCUCUGAUUGUUUAAGUAAACCCUCCCAUAUUUGUGCUUAUUCUUAAUUCUAGUAUGAAACAUUGUUUUAAUGUGGCUAAUCUCCUUAUUGGUUCAUGUAUCUUUCUUCUUGUUGUUUUCAUUUUGGGUGAUAGCAUCACAAUUGUGGUGCCCCAGAUCCAUCUACCAAUCAGGAUUUAUCAUAUCAUUGUUCUCCAUAGGACUUGAGCGAUUCAACCCAUCAAUGUAAUUGCCCUUAUCUUGAUGGUAAUCUCUGGUAAUGUCGUUGAAUUUGUUGUCCCUCUUAUUUGUGAUAUAGUUAUUUUCGCUGAUUCUUAGAAUACUUUCCUUGCAGUUAUGGUUCUUCUUUCCUUCUUGCCACUCUCCUUCCUCCUGCUUCCUAUUCUUAUUCAUCAACUGAUUGUAUCUCAUCUCACAUUUUUUAGGCUAUUAUGGCAUUACGACUGUCCUGCAUAUUUAUUUGCACAGGGAUAUCUUGUUAGUCCUUAGAGUAAACAAACUAGUCUUGAGUUGUUAGCCCAUGUAAGCCAAGAUUGUCAUUAUUUUCCCUAUUGUUCCCUAAUUUUUCUUAUAUGACCAUAUUAUUAUAGGUAUUGGACCCUUCUCAUUUGAAGCCAAAGCUACCAUCAAUCAAUUUGAUGAUUUAGUUCUCGCCUCAUUGCCUACCCUUGUAUUUUCUAUGAUGACAAUUGUUAUCAUCUACACUACAGGACCCCCUUUUGAUGAUUAACAUCCAAGAUAUAUUUAUCCACAAAGUUGCUAGUGAUUAGCUCAUCAUCAUUUGAAGGUUAUUAUUGGAAAUUUUGUUGCACACCUCCAUCGCGGAUCAUAGAGGAAUCUCAAUAUAUGCUAGCUGAAUGUUGUAGACUAGAUCUGUAACACCUCAAACCCCAAAA